rnacentral:rRNA from 1 species
ACUCCUACGGGAGGCAGCAGUGGGGAAUAUUGCACAAUGGGCGCAAGCCUGAUGCAGCCAUGCCGCGUGUAUGAAGAAGGCCUUCGGGUUGUAAAGUACUUUCAGCAGUGAGGAAGGUGGUGUCGUUAAUAGCGGCAUCAUUUGACGUUAGCUGCAGAAGAAGCACCGGCUAACUCCGUGCCAGCAGCCGCGGUAAUACGGAGGGUGCGAGCGUUAAUCGGAAUUACUGGGCGUAAAGCGCAUGCAGGUGGUUUGUUAAGUCAGAUGUGAAAGCCCGGGGCUUAACCUCGGAAUUGCAUUUGAAACUGGCAGACUAGAGUACUGUAGAGGGGGGUAGAAUUUCAGGUGUAGCGGUGAAAUGCGUAGAGAUCUGAAGGAAUACCGGUGGCGAAGGCGGCCCCCUGGACAGAUACUGACACUCAGAUGCGAAAGCGUGGGGAGCAAACAGGAUUAGAUACCCUGGUA